rnacentral:tRNA from 1 species
GCCUGGCUGGCUCUGUCAGUAGAGUACAUGACUGUUGAUCUUGGGGUUGAGAGUUCAGGCCCCUUGCUGGGUA